GAUGCCUAAUUUUGCAAAAUCACUUUUCAUUCACCCAGUAAAUUUUUUUCUUCUUUUUUCCAGGCAGUCUUGCUCUGUCUCUCAGGCAGGAGGUUGCAGUGAGCCAAGAGUCUGGUGCACUCCAGUCUGGGUGACAAGAGUGAAACUCCAUCUCAAAAAAAUAUAUAUAUCAACUACCAACUAA